rnacentral:rRNA from 1 species
GAUGAACGCUGGCGGCGUGCCUAAUACAUGCAAGUCGAGCGAACAGACGAGGAGCUUGCUCCUUUGACGUUAGCGGCGGACGGGUGAGUAACACGUGGAUAACCUACCUAUAAGACUGGAUAACUUCGGGAAACCGGAGCUAAUACCGGAUAACAUGUUGAACCGCAUGGUUCAACAGUGAAAGACGGUCUUGCUGUCACUUAUAGAUGGAUCCGCGCCGCAUUAGCUAGUUGGUAAGGUAACGGCUUACCAAGGCAACGAUGCGUAGCCGACCUGAGAGGGUGAUCGGCCACACUGGAACUGAGACACGGUCCAGACUCCUACGGGAGGCAGCAGUAGGGAAUCUUCCGCAAUGGGCGAAAGCCUGACGGAGCAACGCCGCGUGAGUGAAGAAGGUCUUCGGAUCGUAAAACUCUGUUAUUAGGGAAGAACAAAUGUGUAAGUAACUAUGCACGUCUUGACGGUACCUAAUCAGAAAGCCACGGCUAACUACGUG